rnacentral:rRNA from 1 species
AUACGGAGGGUGCAAGCGUUGUCCGGAAUCACUGGGUGUAAAGGGUGUGUAGGCGGGAUUGUAAGUCAGAGGUGAAAUCCUACAGCUCAACUGUAGAACUGCCUUUGAUACUGCAAUUCUUGAGUUUCGGAGAGGUCAUUAGAAUUCGUGGUGUAGCGGUGAAAUGCGUAGAUAUCACGAGGAAUACCAGAGGCGUAGGCGGAUGACUGGACGAAUACUGACGCUGAGGCACGAAAGCGUGGGGAGCAAACAGGAUUAGAUACCCCGGUAGUCC